GGCUAAUAUUGCUCCUCAACUUCAAAAAUGUGGCGGUAGGAAAAGCAGAAGAAUUGCCGAGUUUCUGGCCGAAGAACACAGUGCGUGAAGAGACGUGGUUAGAUUUCCUCAUGGAGGCCGCAGCAAAGGACGGAGCUCCGAGGCCAUGGAUCUGAGCGGUGGAGGAAGCCAUUAAGGAAGAAAGUAAAGAGAAGCAGGUGAAAUGGG
rnacentral:misc_RNA from 1 species